rnacentral:misc_RNA from 1 species
GAUGAAGAACGUAGCGAAAUGCGAUAAGUAAUGUGAAUUGCAGAAUUCAGUGAAUCAUCUAAUCUUUGAACGCACAUUGCGCCCGCUAGUAUUCUGGCGGGCAUGCCUGUUCGAGCGUCAUUUCAACCAUCAAGCUCCUUAGCUUGUGUUGGGGACCUGCGGCUGCCGCAGCCCCCGAAAUGCAGUGGCGGGCUCGUUGUCACACCGAGUGCAGUAAUCAUUCUUCUCUCCGGGCGUGGCGGCGGGUUCCGGCCGUAAAAUCACCAAUUUAUCAAGGUUGACCUCGGAUCAGGUAGGAAUACCCGCUGAACUUAAGCAUAUCAAUAAGCGGAGGA